GAUGAACCGUGACAAAGCCUGUUUUCCUUCUUUGUUUCUUUAAAAAAAUACAAGGCCCUAAAAUACAUGAAGGUUUUUGGUUCGUUUUCUUGAAGACUUUCAAUUUUUUUUUUCAAAAUGGGCACUAGAUCCGAGUUCUAAGUUUAAAAAGGGGAAAAAUGAGGGUUUUGGAACUCCAACCACCGUGCAUGGUGGUCGCCGGCGACAGACCAGCGAUGGUCGGUGACUGACCUUUGGGUUGGUU
rnacentral:lncRNA from 1 species